AUACGGAGGGUGCAAGCGUUAUUCGGAAUCACUGGGCGUAAAGGACGCGUAGGCGGGUUGGCAAGUCAGAUGUGAAAUCCUACGGCUUAACUGUAGAACUGCAUUUGAAACUGCCGACCUAGAGUAUGGGAGGGGGAGAUGGAAUUAGUGGUGUAGGGGUAAAAUCCGUAGAUAUCACUAGGAAUACCGAAAGCGAAGGCGAUCUCCUGGAACAUAACUGACGCUAAGGCGUGAAAGCGUGGGGAGCAAACAGGAUUAGAAACCCUAGAGUCC
rnacentral:rRNA from 1 species